GGAGAGAAUGGUGCUAGAAGUUCAGGUGA
rnacentral:piRNA from 1 species